rnacentral:rRNA from 1 species
AACGAACGCUGGCGGCAGGCUUAACACAUGCAAGUCGAGCGCCCCGCAAGGGGAGCGGCAGACGGGUGAGUAACGCGUGGGAAUCUACCCAUCUCUACGGAAUAACGCAUGGAAACGUGUGCUAAUACCGUAUACGUCCUUCGGGAGAAAGAUUUAUCGGAGAUGGAUGAGCCCGCGUUGGAUUAGCUAGUUGGUGGGGUAAAGGCCUACCAAGGCGCCGAUCCAUAGCUGGUCUGAGAGGAUGAUCAGCCACACUGGGACUGAGACACGGCCCAGACUCGUACGGGAGGCAGCAGUGGGGAAUAUUGGACAAUGGGCGCAAGCCUGAUCCAGCCAUGCCGCGUGCGUGAUGAAGGCUGUAGGGUUGUAAAGCUCUUGCACAGGUGAAGAUAAUGACGGUAACCGGAGAAGAAGCCCCGGCUAACUUCGUGCCAGCCGCCGCGGUAACAC